rnacentral:lncRNA from 1 species
AGCUGGAGGCCUGCAUAGAACAAAAACACAGGUCUUCCUGAGCAAGAGGGGCUUCUCCAGCAUAUGGCCUUUGGACUUCAUCUAUACCAUCCACACUUCUGGGUCUCCAGCCUGCUGGCCCACACUACAGAUUUUGGACUUGCCAGCUUCCUUAAUCAUGUGCUUCCCAUUUCUACAGCCGGUUUACUGUAGUCUCCUCAUGAACAUGUUGUCAUCACGCCCAGUGUAACUGCUCCCUCCCUGCAGGAGUUUACUGUGCUACAUGGAUAAGCUAACAAAGGCUCAUCUGGAACUACAGGGUUACAUCUCUAGUGUCAUUGUAUGACACAGUGACUCAGAGAUGAUUUCCUCUUCAGAAAACAGAAGAAUUUUCUGACACAUUUAUCCGGAUUGGAUGAUAUGGAGAUGAACACCAGGACUAUUUUAGAAACUGCAUGUUGAAGACCACUGAGAUAUAAAACUUAGAAAAAAAAAGGUUCUGAAUCAAUGCCUUGUGAAGACAAUUGCGCAGGGCACCACCAGGCUGAAAUCCAGGUGUUCACCGGGCUUUUUCUUCACCUGGAGGCUCAGCUG